GACGAACGCUGGCGGCGUGCUUAACACAUGCAAGUCGAACGAAGAGCGAUGGAAGCUUGCUUCUAUCAAUCUUAGUGGCGAACGGGUGAGUAACGCGUAAUCAACCUGCCCUUCAGAGGGAGACAACAGUUGGAAACGACUGCUAAUACCGCAUACGAUCCAAUCUCGGCAUCGAGACUGGAUGAAAGGUGGCCUCUAUUUAUAAGCUAUCACUGAAGGAGGGGAUUGCGUCUGAUUAGCUAGUUGGAGGGGUAACGGCCCACCAAGGCGAUGAUCAGUAGCCGGUCUGAGAGGAUGAACGGCCACAUUGGGACUGAGACACGGCCCAGACUCCUACGGGAGGCAGCAGUGGGGAAUCUUCCGCAAUGGACGAAAGUCUGACGGAGCAACGCCGCGUGAGUGAUGACGGCCUUCGGGUUGUAAAGCUCUGUUAAUCGGGACGAAUGGUUCUUGUGCA
rnacentral:rRNA from 1 species